GUCGACUCUUUUGGACUCUUCCUCCAGAUGCUGGUUUCACAUGGUGGUUUAGAUGUGUUCUACCAAAGUCUAGCACCAUUUGAAAUCAGUGUUCUUGGGGAGGGAUUUGCACUGGAUUGUGU
rnacentral:precursor_RNA from 8 species